GUGCUGUAUAAUGCGCAAUUUUUGGUCAAAUAAAGAAGCAGCAAUUUGACCACCAGUUUGAGCCUGCUGUGUGUUAUGACCCAGCUAUUUAUU